GCCAGGCAUGGUGGCAUGUGGCUAUAGUCCCAGCUACUCGGGAGGCUGAGGUGGGAGGGCUGCUUGAGCCGAGGAGUUCUGGGCUGUAGUGCGCUAUGCCUAUCGGGUGUCUGCACUAAGUUCGGCAUCAAUAUGGUGACCUCCUGGGAGCAGGGGAACACCAGGUUGCCUAAGGAGGGGUGAACCGGCCCAGGUGGGAAACGGAGCAGGUCAAAACUCCCGUGCUGAUCAGUAGUGGGAUCGCGCCUGUGAACAGCCACUGCACUCCAGCCUGGGCAACAUAGUGAGACCCCAUCUCU
rnacentral:SRP_RNA from 1 species